rnacentral:misc_RNA from 1 species
ACCUGGAUGCCACUUUGAAAAGGUUAGUAACAAGCUUCUAUAUGUUUUAUUUCUAAUGUGGCCUUUUCUUGCUCAAUGAACAAUCCCAAUAGUCAAUAUUUUGACCAGUAGAAGACUGAAUAUUCUAUUUUUCUUUCAAUUGAAAUAUGAACGUUGGGGAUCACUUUGAAAGUUAAGAAAAAAAAAUUAUUUACUUAAAUGUGUGUUUGAGAUUCUGGAGAUAAUUAUUAGACAAGAGCCUAAUUUUGUGGAUGAAAUUAAAUUUUUUCCUAAAAUGAUUUUGUCUAUUUUUUCCUAAAAUAAUUUUGUCUAUCUCUAUAAUCAAUUUGAAGACGACCCAAUUCUUGAUGCAUUCAGUUAGCAGUAUUCCUUCCUUCCUUUUUCAGUUUCAUGUCAUCACAUCUAACACUUGGAAAAAAAAAAUCAAUUAUGUUCAUAUUGUGAUGAUUCUCUUAAAUGAAGAUGAAUCCAGAACUGCAAUUUUUUUUUUUUUUUUGUAUAUUUGGCUUUGACCUGGACUUGAACUCGAGAUUUCACCGUGAAAUGACUUCAAAACCACUAAUUUAAAGCUCAUUGGUUAGAGCUAUAAUCAUGUGUUAAGGAGGGUAUAGGGACUUGAGUUGGUAUAGGAUGAGAUAAAUUUAGGCAUUGGUUGCAGGGACAAUGAAAUAUCUUCUUGGAUUCCUUGUAUAUAUUAAAUGGUUUAGUUGAUUUCUUGCUCAUAUGAUCGCUGGUUUGAAUAAAAGUUUAAGCUGAAUAUUUCCAUCUAUGCUUUGCUUUUCUUAAUAAAAGUUGGCUUAUCGUACAAAAGCUCCACUUGAGAAUUGGGCAUUGUUAUUUUAUUGCUCAUCUAAAUAGUGGUUCAACUUUAAAGAGAAUUAAUUGCCUUAAGGACUGAGACUUUCUAUACGAGUGUUAAUAAAGCACUUUCUGCUCUUAAAUGUCCUUACUAGACUUCCUUUUUUUUUCAUGUUCUCUGUGUUUUGUUAAAUGCCUUGAACUGCCAUAUUGAUAUUUCUAUGAGCAUCGUUACCAUAAUUUGUAGGUUGCCAAGUUAGACAAAUUCUCUAUUGCAUCAGCAUCUAGUACUAUAAUUGAUUACUUGUCCAUAACAUUACAGAUGAUGGUAAUUACUCAGUUUGAUAUCUAUCUCACUAUAAAUAGGUAUUUUCCAGAAGGCAUUGAC